CUGGCACAUCGAAUAACUAAUGAAUCUUAAUUAUCCCAUAUCUCUUGACAACGGAUCCGUCCACUUAGGUUUGACUUUUUUAUGUUAACCGUGUGGUGUACUUUCGUCUUCUAUGCCCUCGUCUCUCCUCGCGUUCCUCUGCAUGCCAUCUGCGCUCUCUUUUGCUUCCUUUCCGUUCUACUCAAGGCCGGGGCCGGCGAGCAGGCUCAGGCUUCUUCCCGUGGUGGUGUUCGGUACUACCUUUUUCCGAUGGUGGCCAAGCUAGAAGAGAAGGUCCAAGCUAUCCGGGCGAAGAUCGAGGGCGCCGGAAUCCGUCCCCUACCCUUCUCCGUGGCCGAUAUCAACGGUAUUUCCCUGACCACCCGUACGUUCUUCAAGUACGCCAAAACCUUCACCAACAUUGCCAACAUGAAAGAUGAGGCGCAGAGAUCCCAGGUUCGGAGAUGGGGGCAUCUUCACUGCUAAUUUGAGGAGGCCCAUCGAAGAGGUCAUUCCUAAAUUGGAGAGCAAACCGUCUGAGGCAGCAGGUCGGGAGGUAGUCGUAUGGUUCACGGAGGAGAAGGCAGACGACAUUACUAAACAGGCUUGUGUGGUGCAACCAAAAUCAGAAAUGGAUUUGCAGCUUGAAUCUACCAGGCUGAGCACUCCCGGGGGAUACGCUAGCGCAGUAGCAUUGCGUGUGACGACUUUUGGGACCAUAGCUCUAAUGAGCGGCUUCUUCCUAAGACCAGAUGCUACUUUUGACGAUUACCUCUCAGACGUCGUUCCUCUUUUUGGCGGUUUCAUUUCCAUUCUAGGAGUCUCUGAGAUAGCCACGAGAGUCACGGCAGCUCGAUAAGGUGUGAAACUGAGCCCGUUGUUUCUAGUCCCAUCAAAUUGGACAGGAUGCUUGGGAGUCGUUAAUAACUACGAGUCCCUGCUACCGAAUAAAAAAGCACUCUUCAACAUUCUGGUGGCCCGUCCAGCCAGCGCUUAUAUGACGUCACUAGCGCUCACAAUCGCGGCAUUUGUGGCUGACGGCAGCUUCAACGGGGGCGACAAUGCACUAUAUGUAAGGCCACAAUUUUUCUUUAACAGCCCGUUGCUUUCUUUUAUCCAAUUCGUCAUUGGACCUUAUACCGAUGAUCUCGGUAAUGUGUUGUCCUAAACCGUGGAAGGUGUCGGUGUUCCUGUUGAUCCCCUCGCUUUUGCUGGACUUCUCGAUGAGUUUUUGUGCGCUCAGAAGUUGAUUCAUUGCAACUUUCUCUGUUAGUUUUCUUUAUUCUUUCUUCUCCUUUCUAUUGCAUUGUGCUAUAUCGUCUAUGUAGAACGGGCAUGCACUACAUAUGAUUCGGACAGAUUCGAAAUUACGAAGAUUUAGUAGGAUGAGUACUGUUCUUCGAGUCUUUUGACCCUUCUGCUUCCACCUUGCAAGUAAGCAAUG